rnacentral:rRNA from 1 species
AUUGAACGCUGGCGGCAGGCUUAACACAUGCAAGUCGCACGAGUGGCGGACGGGUGAGUAAUGCUUUGGGAUCUAGCUUAUGGAGGGGGAUAACUACGGGCAACUGUAGCUAAUACCGCGUACCAUAGGAUGAGCCCAAGUGGGAUUAGGUAGUUGGUGAGGUAAAGGCUCACCAAGCAGACGAUCUCUAGAUGGUCUUAGAGGAGUACCAGCCAUACUGUGACUGGUACACGGCCCAGCCUCCUACGGGAGGAAGCAGUGGGGAAGAUUGCGCAAUGGGGGCAACCUGACGCAGCCAUGCAGCGUGAAUGAAGAAGGCCUUCGGGUUGUAAAGUUCUUUCGGUAGCUAGGCGUUAACUACAGAAGAAGCACCGGCUAACUCCGGGCCAGCAGCCGCGGUAAUAC